CGACGAGGUUGGGACUCGAACCCACGCGGUUAGAGCCCAAUUGAUUAGCAGUCCAUCGCCUUAACCACUCGGCCACCUCGUU
rnacentral:tRNA from 13 species